AUUGGAGAGUAGAGGAUUGAGUAAGAGAGCCCAAAAAAUUGAUUGGAGGAGCCGACUCCGGAUGUGCUUGAUUGAACACUGAUUGGAGAACAGAGGGGUCAGGAAGAGCAAUUCCGCACGAGGAUUGGGCGGUGGCGUGUCCCAUGGAAACGGAAUCCAGAACUGCAGCCAGGGUUUUGCACGGAGGCGGAGCCGGGUCUUCCCCAAGCGCCUGCGCCUAGCCGGUUUCCCGGCGCCAUUUUGUCCCGGCAGCAAGAGCCUGCAGCUCUAUCCCAUUUUCUGCGUCUAGAGGGAAGGAAGCGGACUCUAUCUGAGUUGUGCUGAAGACAACAGACACUUCCAUGACAUCCCAAAGUAUCACAGAGGAAAUGAAAUGCUGUGGAGCCAUUCAAAGUUAAUUAAGAUUAGGCUUGACCCUGGAAGACCUCCAGAAAAUCUUGGCUGCUGAUGUGGAAAAAGAGGCCCAGAAGAAUAAGAAAACAGGUGACUCGAGUACUGGUCCCCUUGUGUGGGAACAGAUCAGGAGGCCAGCUGAGACAUGAAUGUCUCUGUAGUAGCCAGAGAAUCUGUUGGCUAUCAGGUCCUCAUGACUUACUAUUACGUGUCAUCCUGUCAUGUGGCAUGAAUGGGAUCUAUAAAACCCUAUUACGGUUUGGUUAUGCAGUCCAGUCAGAUUUACAAAGAUUGUCAGAUAAACUUUUACCUGCUCAAGCAAAGAGUAGAGACUCAUUGUUAGCUGAUUUGUGCACACUGCACAUUUCCAUACAUGUGUUACUGCAGAAGUGUCCCUACAGUGUUACCAGAGCUGGGGCAGGGUGGAAUUCCUUAGCAUACAUGUGUUACUGCAGAAAUGUCCCUACAGUGUUAGCAGAGCUGGGGCAAGGUGGAAUUCCUUAGCAGGCAAAGAUGCAGACUGAUGCAGAGGAAGCAGGAGGAAGGCAGAGCUGAGAUAGAGGUUGGUUGUUUGGUUGGUUGGUUGGUUUGUUUGUUUGUUUGUUUGUUUUGAGAUAGGGUUUCACUUGUCUGGAUUCAAUUUUUGAAUAAUACUUUUUAUAAUAUUUUUAUCAUAGAACACUAAGUGUGUGUGCGCGCGCGUGUACGCCUGUUUGAUUCUUUUUCUCUUAAAAGCCUGGAGUGAGAAGUCUGUUUUGAUGAGUAUUCAGGAGGCAAAAUAAUUUUUUAUAAAUAAGUGUAUGCUCUGCAUCUUUAAGGUAAAACAUGGCUCAGAAUUAAAAGAAGUCUUUGUCUUUCAGAAUGACAUUGACUUUUGUUGUGGGAAUAAGAACUAACAUGCUUCAGUUCUAAAAGAUGUAGGAUUUGCUACUUGUACUGAAAAAAUUUGAUUCUGUUACGUAAUUUUAUGUCAUCCUUCAGUAAAUGAGAUUGGCCAUGCUACGUAUGUAUGUAUAUGCAUACAUCAGGAUUUGAUGAGAAGUAGAAGUGAGGGGUUUUGACGACAUUAGAUAAUUGCAAUCAAACUUUUAUUUUGGGUACCAGGGAUAUAGGUCUUGAUUGUAAGAGUGCUUUACCAGAUGUAUACAAGGAUCUAGGUUCAAAAAACAGAACCAGUUGUGUUCUUAAUAUUUAAAGCAUACUCUGUGGUGUAUGUGUGGAUGUCAAUAUGAUUGUUUUCUUUGCCCUGUUGGAUUUUGUUGUUGUUUUUAGGACCAUGUGAAUAAUGGUUUUCAUUCACACAUAAUUCAAAUUAGAAAGAUAGCAUAUUUCAGCGUCUGGAUUAAAGUAUAUCUGGGUUAUUUAAUGACAUUCCUCCAACGAUGGCAUACCUAGGGAGCUGAGUGUGAGUAAGAUACUUAACAUAAUGAAGCAUAGAAAGUUAAUCUAAAUACUUGAAGAGACUUGAAUAAUUGGGGUUUUUUGUUUUUUGAGAGACAGACAAGUAAUCCUGGCUGUCUUGGAAUCCCUCUGUAGAUUAGCCUCAAACCCAGAGAUUGUCCUGCCCCUGCCUCUCCAGUGCUGAGAAUAAAGGCAAGAACCAUCAUAAAAGGAACAUAACCAAGCAAAACAGGGCGUGUUAUAGCUGGUUUGUAAUGCAUGUAAGUGUAUACACAAGACCCUCAGUUGUAUUAUCAGUACUGUGAAACAAGUCAAAGAAAAAGACAGGGAAUUAGUUAGUGUAUGUUGAUGAAGGCUUUUAAGGAUAAUGAUCUUAAAAAGUCAUUCAAGUUAAGUGAAAGGUUCUGACUAAAAAUGAUUGCGAAAAGCUGUUUCAGAUAGGAAACUCAUUGAGAAAGGAUGCCUAGCAAAAGAUGAGAUCAGAAAAGCUAAGAGGCAUGUGUUGUCAAGAGUUGCUAGGAUCAUCUGUGCACUGGAAUCCUAUUGCACACUUGCCCUCUAUAGAUUUUUAGAUGGCUUUGAGUCUGAGGUAUGAACAUAAAUUAUAGGUGAUUUUUAUUUUUUGUUGACUUUUGUUUGAGAUAUGGUUUCACUAUUUAAUAGCCUUGGCUAGCCUGGAACUCACUACUGUAGACCAGGCUAGCCUCUAAUUCACAGAAAUCCAUCUGUUUCUGCUCGUAAAUGCAGGGAUGAAAAGCAUUGGUCAUCAUACCCAUCUUAAGGUAGGUGUGUGUGUGUGUGUAUGUGUAUGUGUGUGUAUGUUUAUAUUGGCUUAUUUUCUCAGCUUUAUAAGUUAUACACGUUUUCUCUAAUCCUUCAUUAGCCUUUUUUAUCUGGGUGUUUUUGUUUUUGUUUUGAGACAGGCUCUGGGAUUGUUGCCUUAGCUCCCCUAUGGUCCUAGUGCUGGAGUUACAGGUGUGAUCCACUGUACCUGGAUUUUUUAUUGUUUUGUUUUGUUUUUAUUCUUCUACUGAUCCCCAUUUUUAUUUUGAUGUAUUCUAUUGCCUGUGCCCAUGUCAAUGGUUUUUCUCUCCCAUCAGUGACUUUAUUUAGGUUUGUUUAUAAGUAUGUGGGCACACUUGCAGUGACUGUACAUUCCCUCUGUCAAGCAUUAACUGUAUAAAUACUGUUAGGAGACGUGAAGCCCCAUAAGACGCUGUCCCUUCCUAGCAAGAUGUUGACAGACCCUGUCUUGUUCACAGCUUCAGUAUAGGUUUCAUAGCUACUGUGAAGUUUAAGGGUGCAACAACAGGUCAGUGUUUCAUGUGGGUUAUAUAAAUGUCCUGUUGAACAGAGCACUCAACAGUCACAUACUCUCAGAGCAUUUGCUUAGCAAGACUUCCCAAAGACCUUGGAGGAAGAAUAAGGACCACUAUGGGAUCUAGUGUCUGCCAAAAUGCUUAUCUGUGACCUUGCUUCAUUACCCAAGCAGCCCUUGUUUCCUCUAUAUUCUAGGACUUUUAGAAUCCCACCCUAGUUUUACAAUAGCCAGUGAAAUUAUAUGUUGCAAUGUAUGGGAAACAAACAAAAAUUAUAUAAUAGCCUUUAACAGUUCAAUCUAGUCUGUACUACCACAAAUAAAAGUUGUUUUCUUGAAAUA